ensembl:lncRNA
CACUAGUCCAGGAAGUGGGAUGGGGGAGGGGUGCGGAAGAAAGUGGGGGGGGGAGGAGGAGUUUGGGUAUCCAGGGGCAGGUUCCAAGCCUGCAGGAGUUGUCCUGUGCGUGACGUGCAAGCCCAGUUAGUGAGGGUGCACCCGGCGUGAUGGGCCAAGGCAGAUUGGUGAGGUUCAGUCUCAGGAGGAAGCACCAGAGCAGGAGGCUUGAACCAUUUACUAAGGAGGAUUCCCAGAGCACACGGGCUACAGCAAGUGUUUGAUUUCAUGGGUCAGAUAUGGAGCCUGUCCCUGUUACUCUUUACCUUGGUUCUGCUGAAUUCUCUCAGUCAAUUCACAGGCAACUUCAUCUCAGAAGGGGUGUCGUCUCUGAACAGGAACCGGGGAGAGGAUGUUCUGCUCCAUCUAGACCCAAAAGUCGGAAAUGAGACCCAGAGGAUUAAAUGGUAUUUUGUAUCUAAGGAUCUGCUCCUACUCGCCAUCUCUCCAGGGAAGAGCAGGCCAAGCUGGAUCAUUCCCCAGAAGGAGUAUGAGGGGCGGCUGUCUGCCCCUGAUGAUAAGUCUCUGAUGUUAAUGGAUGUGACCUCUGAAGACAGUGGAUGUUAUGAAAUUCACAUAUCAUCAGUCUCAGGAGACAUACAUAUUCAGAAAUUCAAUUUAACUGUCUUUGGUAAAUGAACCACUUGCCCUCUUUUGGACCCCACCCUGCUGUCACACACUUGUACACUUUUAAAAGCUUCCUUCCACUCUCCCUCCUUCAGAUCUUUCCAAAACCUGUCUUGCCCUCCAAUUUUGUGCCUUAAGAAAGGAAGGAGGGGCAGAGGUGCUUUUUCCUUAUGAAAGGGGAAAGUGGGUGGCAGAAACCUGAGGCUAGAAGGCCUGUCCCAAGGUCACACACCCAUGAGCCAGCCCAAAGGAAUGAAUAGGACUGCCUGAAUUACAGACCUACCUUCCCUGGAGAACCACGUAAAAGUUACUGAGCUCCUCAGUCACUCAGUCCUUCCUCAGCCC